rnacentral:rRNA from 1 species
UAACAGUUGGAAACGACUGCUAAUACCGCAUACGCCCUACGGGGGAAAGGAGGGGACCUUCGGGCCUUCCGCGAUUGGAUGAACCUAGGUGGCAUUAGCUAGUUGGUGAGGUAAUGGCUCACCAAGGCGACGAUCCCUAGCUGUUCUGAGAGGAUGACCAGCCAUACUGGGACUGAGACACGGCCCAGACUCAUACGGGAGGCAGCAGUGGGGAAUAUUGCACAAUGGGGGAAACCCUGAUGCAGCCAUGCCGCGUGUGUGAAGAAGGCCUUCGGGUUGUAAAGCACUUUCAGUAGGGAGGAAAGGUAGCAGCUUAAUACGCUGUUGCUGUGACGUUACCUACAGAAGAAGGACCGGCUAACUCCGUGCCAGCAGCCGCGAUAAUACGGAGGGUCCGAGCGUUAAUCGGAAUUACUGGGCGUAAAGCGUGCGCAGGCGGUUUGUUAAGCGAGAUGUGAAAGCCCCGGGCUCAACCUGGGAAUUGCAUUUCGAACUGGCGAACUAGAGUCUUGUAGAGGGGGGUAGAAUUCCAGGUGUAGCGGUGAAAUGCGUAGAGAUCUGGAGGAAUACCGGUGGCGAAGGCCGCCCCUCUGUACAAAGACUGACGCUCAGGCACGAAAGCGUGGGGAGCAAACAGGAUUAGAUACCCUGGUAGUCCACGCCGUAAACGAUGUCUACUCGG